GCCGGUAUGAUGGAAUUGGCAGACGUGACGGACUCAAAAUCCGUUGGUAGCGAUACCGUGUCGGUUCGACCCCGACUACCGGCA
rnacentral:tRNA from 1 species